UCCCCUGGCUUAGAUGGUAAAGAAUCUGCCUGCAAUGCAGCAGACCCGGGUUCGAACCCUGGGUUGGGAA
rnacentral:tRNA from 1 species